rnacentral:tRNA from 1 species
GCUCUCAUAGCAUAACGGAUAAUGCAACGGCCUUCUAAGCCGUCUAUCUAGGUUCGAUUCCUAGUGGGAGUG